UGUACAUUUCCUAAAUUUGAUUUUAGAUGUAUGGUUGAUUCACUAAAUGCGCACCUUUGCAAGGCACACACACCUUGGGUCUAGCAGGUAUUCCCCGGCUUUGCCCGUGGCAAGAUUUACGCAAAGGAGUGAAAUUUGAGACCGAUCGGAUGGCAAACAAAAAAAGGCUACCAUUUGCCAAGCGGGCUUUCUCAAAACCCCAUCACAUAAGGCAACUACAGCUAAGACAAAUAACUGUAUAUAUUAUAUUUAAAUUAAUUUAAUAAAAAUAUUUAUAUUUUCUGGUAAAAUAAAACAUUUCCUUAAUCUUUUAAGAUCGCCUGGCUGGUCCAACGGACAUGAUAACCCGGCAAAGCAGCGCAGAUAAGCAAAAACAAU